rnacentral:rRNA from 1 species
UAUUGGUCAAUGGACGCAAGUCUGAACCAGCCAUGCCGCGUGCAGGAUGAAGGCCCUAUGGGUUGUAAACUGCUUUUGUACGGGAAAAAACCCUUGAACGUGUUCGAGGCUGAUGGUACCGUAAGAAUAAGGAUCGGCUAACUCCGUGCCAGCAGCCGCGGUAAUACGGAGGAUCCAAGCGUUAUCCGGAUUCAUUGGGUUUAAAGGGUGCGUAGGCGGAAUAGUAAGUCAGUGGUGAAAGCCUGUUGCUUAACAACAGAACUGCCAUUGAUACUGCUAAUCUAGAGUAUAGAUGAUGUGGGCGGAAUGUGUCGUGUAGCGGUGAAAUGCUUAGAUAUGACACAGAACACCGAUUGCGAAGGCAGCUCACAAAACUAUAACUGACGCUGAGGCACGAAAGCGUGGGGAUCGAAC